GAUGAACGCUGGCGGCGUGCCUAAUACAUGCAAGUCGAGCGAACAGAUGAGGAGCUUGCUCCUCUGACGUUAGCGGCGGACGGGUGAGUAACACGUGGAUAACCUACCUAUAAGACUGGGAUAACUUCGGGAAACCGGAGCUAAUACCGGAUAAUAUAUUGAACCGCAUGGUUCAAUAGUGAAAGACGGUUUUGCUGUCACUUAUAGAUGGAUCCGCGCCGCAUUAGCUAGUUGGUAAGGUAACGGCUUACCAAGGCAACGAUGCGUAGCCGACCUGAGAGGGUGAUCGGCCACACUGGACUGAGACACGGUCCAGACUCCUACGGGAGGCAGCAGUAGGGAAUCUUCCGCAAUGGGCGAAAGCCUGACGGAGCAACGCCGCGUGAGUGAUGAAGGUCUUCGGAUCGUAAAACUCUGUUAUUAGGGAAGAACAAAUGUGUAAGUAACUAUGCACGUCUUGACGGUACCUAAUCAGAAAGCCACGGCUAACUACGUG
rnacentral:rRNA from 1 species